GAAGCCUCAGGUCAAGAUCUUCAAAUCAAGGCACCCUCAAUCAUAUCAAGCAGCGGAUUAUACAAAAUAAAUCAAAGGUUAACAUAUGGUAAACACGAUUCAAAUUGUACGAAACAAGCCUUAAGCAAUAGGGAAUGACGAGACGGAGUCUCUCCUAUCCUCAUCUAGAGUGACUAUGUGUAUGGGGUGUAUGCCCCGAAUAUUC
rnacentral:lncRNA from 1 species